GGGUGCGAUCAUACCAAUGUUAAUGUAGCGGAUCCCAUCAAAACUAUGCAAUUAAGCGUGCUUGGACCAGAGUAGUAUUGGGAUGGGUGACCUCCUGGGAAGUCCUAAUGUUGCACCCU
rnacentral:rRNA from 1 species